rnacentral:rRNA from 1 species
UACAGGGGGGGCAAGCGUUGUUCGGAAUUACUGGGCGUAAAGGGCCAGUAGGCGGCCAACUAAGUCACACGUGAAAAUCCCCCAGGCUUAACCUGGGAACUGCGUGUGAUACUGGAUGGCUUGAAUUCGGGAGAGGGAUGCAGAAUUCCGAGGUGUAGCGGUGAAAUGCGUAGAUAUCUGGAGGAAUACCGGUGGCGAAGGCGGCAU